rnacentral:rRNA from 1 species
GAUGAACGCUAGCUACAGGCUUAACACAUGCAAGUCGCGGGGCAGCAUGGGGGUUGCUUGCAAUCCCCGAUGGCGACCGGCGCACGGGUGAGUAACGCGUAUCCAACCUGCCCUUCACCACGGGAUAACCCGGCGAAAGUCGGACUAAUACCGUAUGUUGUCCAUUGACGGCCUCCGAUUUGGACGAAAGGUUUGGCGGUGAAGGAUGGGGAUGCGUCCGAUUAGCUGGACGGCGGGGUGACGGCCCACCGUGGCGACGAUCGGUAGGGGUUCUGAGAGGAAGGUCCCCCACACUGGAACUGAGACACGGUCCAGACUCCUACGGGAGGCAGCAGUGAGGAAUAUUGGUCAAUGGGCGUAAGCCUGAACCAGCCAAGUAGCGUGCAGGAUGACGGCCCUAUGGGUUGUAAACUGCUUUUAUGCGGGGAUAAAGUGGCCCACGUGUGGGUUUUUGCAGGUACCGCAUGAAUAAGGACCGGCUAAUUCCGUG